rnacentral:lncRNA from 1 species
CUCCAGUUACUCUGGCAACAGGACAAGCAACCCAGGGGAGGGAAGGGGAGCCGAGGUCAACGCUGCGCCUCGGUCCCUAACCCCCUCCGGACAACCACCGAGUCCCCUUCGGUCGCGGCGCAGCUCGCUACCUCCCCGCCUUCCUCCCAGGGCUCUUCCUGUCCCGGGAACCAGGCGUCCUGCCCUCGGCCUUCCCCACAGUCUUCAGGCCCUCCGCUGUCUCUAACCCCCACCAGUGUCACAACAUAAGCUGCAGCAAACAGGAAGCGAAUCUACGUCGCUUAGCAACCACCCCGCGUGCCCCCCUCCCCACUAUUUACCCCAGCCGGGAGAGGCGGAGAUUGAGUCCCCAGCCCCCUCCCCGUCUUCUGCGCUGCGACCUCCUGCCCACAAUUUCCUGUGAGGGGGCCCAGAUCACAGGAAGUCAAGUGGGGGCCUCAGCCUACCUUUCCCUCGGACCGGGGCGGGGGGCUUCAGCUACUUUCACGGUCACAUCCCCCACCUGCCCUGGGUGCGUCUCGCCCUCGCCAUCUUGUGGCUACGUUGGGAAGGCUCCGCACCGAGAAGCCGUGCGGGGCGCGCUAGGGUUCGGGAACGGCGGAGUGGGAGAAGGACUAGGGAUGAGGAGGCUAGCGGGGCGAGACGGAGUGAAAGGGAGGCGCAGGGGGGUGGUGGGAAGAAGGCGAAGGCUACCGCUGGGAAGCUCUCGGGGCCGCUGGUGGGAAGGUCAGGCUGAGGCUUCUACACCUCACCCGUGCAGAGAACUGGAGGGAGACUUAAAGUAGUCCUGGGACCGGGACACACCCAAGUCUGACCACAUCUGACCUUACUGGGCCAUGGCAUUGACCUGUCUGCAAACUCUGCCCUUUAGUCCUGCCCUUCAGUAAGGACCGCCGCGCCCCGCCCCGCCCCGCCCUGGAGUCGGGAAGGGGAAUCCCAGCCCAAGGGGAACGGGGAGUCCUUUCAGGCCCCUCUGGACAUUUGGAACCUGAGACAUCUGCCUCCCAGUUCUUCCUCCUUCCCCGCCGUUCUCUCUUCUAGGGGACCCAUGACCUCCGCCCCAG